GAUGAACGCUAGCGGCAGGCUUAACACAUGCAAGUCGAGGGGUAACAGAGGUGCUUGCACUUGCUGACGACCGGCGAACGGGUGCGUAACGCGUAUAGAAUCCACCUCUUACUAAGGGAUAGCCCAGAGAAACUUGGAUUAAUAUCUUAUAGUAUGUUGACUUGGCAUCAAGAUAACAUUAAAGGUUACGGUGAGAGAUGACUAUGCGUCCUAUUAGCUAGAUGGUGUGGUAACGGCACACCAUGGCAACGAUAGGUAGGGGCCCUGAGAGGGGGAUCCCCCACACUGGUACUGAGACACGGACUAGACUCCUACGGGAGGCAGCAGUGAGGAAUAUUGGACAAUGGAGGCAACUCUGAUCCAGCCAUGCCGCGUGCAGGAAGACUGCCCUAUGGGUUGUAAACUGCUUUUAUACAGGAAGAAACACCUCUACGUGUAGAGGCUUGACGGUACUGUAAGAAUAAGGAUCGGCUAACUCCGUGCCAGCAGCCGCGGUAAUACGGAGGAUCCAAGCGUUAUCCGGAAUCAUUGGGUUUAAAGGGUCCGUAGGUGGAUAAUUAAGUCAGAGGUGAAAUCCUGCAGCUUAACUGUAGAAUUGCCUUUGAUACUGGUUAUCUUGAGUUGUUAUGAAGUAGUUAGAAUAUGUAGUGUAGCGGUGAAAUGCAUAGAUAUUACAUAGAAUACCAAUUGCGAAGGCAGAUUACUAAUAAUAUACUGACACUGAUGGACGAAAGCGUGGGGAGCGAACAGGAUUAGAUACCCUGGUAGUCCACGCCGUAAACGAUGGUCACUAGCUGUUCGAAUUUCGGUUUGAGUGGCUAAGCGAAAGUGGUAAGUGACCCACCUGGGGAGUACGUUCGCAAGAAUG
rnacentral:rRNA from 1 species